rnacentral:pre_miRNA from 1 species
UCUUACGGAUGAGCAAAUAACAUGGUUUUUUGAGAUGAAAUCUACUCCUAGUGAAAAUGCUGUGAA